UGGAGUGACGCAUGCGCAGAACGCAGCCGCACCGACAUCAGGAUCAGCUGAAGCCAGGGAGUAACAAAGGUGCGUUGUUGAUCGACAAGAAAACCCCAACACCACAAUGUCGGGAUUUGACAACAACCCAUUCGCCGACCCUGUGGACGUAAAUCCCUUCCAGGACGCUUCUGUCACUCGGGCCACCCGAGGAGCCGUUGAUGGGAUUCAGGAAUACAACCCUUUCUCGACUGAAUUGAAGGAUCGCAGUGACACGACCAUCCCCAUUUCAGCCGUUUCCUCUCAACCCGCCGUACUGCAAACAUCUGUGGAGCAGAGUUCACAAAUAUCUGCUGCGACGGCUGCCGGUCAGGCGAAUCUGAUCAAGCAGCAAGAAGAACUAGAGAGGAAAGCAGCAGAGUUGGAGCGAAAGGAGCAGGAACUUGAGAACAGGGCAUCCCGAAACCCAGGCGUCACUGACAACAAUUGGCCGCCCCUGCCCAAGUUCUUUCCGUUGAAGCCAUGCUUUUACCAAGACUUUGAGGUAGACAUCCCUGAGGAAUACCGCCGGCUCUGCAAAAGAAUGUACUACCUGUGGAUGUUUCAUUGUGUGACCCUGUUCCUCAACGUGCUGGCCUGCCUGGCCUACUUCACUGUGGACUCUCAGUAUGGCGUCGACUUUGGUCUGUCCAUCCUCUGGUUCCUCCUCUUCACUCCUGUCGCCUUCAUCUGCUGGUACAGACCCGUAUACAGAGCCUUCAGGUCCGACAGUUCCUUCAGCUUCUUUUUCUUCUUCUUCGUCUUUUUCUUCCAAGUGGCCGUGUACAUCAUUCAGUGUGUGGGGAUCCCCAAGUGGGGCAACAGAUCACUGUUGUCUUCUUUAAGGGGUUCUAUACUUUUGGCUGGAUUGCGUCCAUCAGCAUGAUCAACAUAAACCUGGCUGUGGCCGUGGUCAUGAUGGUGGUGGCUGGCUUUUUCACUGUCAACGCCGUCCUGGCCGUCAUGCUGCUAAAAAUGGUCCAUUCCAAGUACAGACGUACAGGAGCCAGCUUCAGCAAGGCUCAGCAGGAGUUCUCCAGUGGUGUCCUGACCAACAGAACCUUCCAGUCUGCUGCUGCAACAGCUGCUCAGGGAGCCUUUAGCAGGGACUAAAACGUGACGUUUUUCCCGUGUUCUCUUAAACCUGUCACAUCCUUGAUGCACAUAUCAUGAUAAUUGGGAAAAGAAACACAAUGAUCACAAUCGUGUUGCCACAUAGUUGUGGUUUGUGUUAAACAAAUGUGCUAUACAUGGUUGUAUGCUAUAUUUAAAAAAAUUACAAGUCCAGCUAUGAUAGCUUUUGAGUGAUCUAUGGCUUGUUCAUGCUUUGAAAUGCACUCUACAGUGAGUACACCUCAACACAAUUGGGCUGUUAUCAAACAACGCUGAAUUGGAGGCAGGCCAUAUUAACAUUGCAUCACCACAAGAAAAACACUCGGAUGUCAGUAAGGUCAAUGUGCUACUUUUAGAGCCCACUUUAAUUAGUUUUGCAGUUUAGAUCCUGCCAGUAGUAUUAUGUUAUUAUUUUUUAUUUUUAAUAACGAAGGAAUACAUAUACAGAGUAACAGUGGAAAAAUGAAGUGAAAUUGUUAAUUCUGGCCUUGAGCGAGGGACCCCUGAUAAAGAACAGGUUAGCAGCUGAAAAUGUUGUGGUCCAAACUUGUGAAAACAGAUGGCUGAGGUCAAUUAUUUUCAUAGUCUGCAUGCACAGCCUCGGUAAUAGUGCAUCUCUAGGGGAAGGUUACUUGUUACUAUGGCCCACUUUUGCAUAUUUUCUUGUGUAUACUUUUAAUAAGUAAUGAAGGAAUUUCUUUGCUUACUGGCUUUAAUGAAGGGUGAAAAUAAAACUGUUCACAAGCCAACAUUAAGUUGUCUUAAACAGAUGAUCGCAUUUUAUACAUUUUGAUUUGUCAAGAAUUCCAUGCCUGUUUAGAAUCUUAAAGUGCGUGGCACAUGUUUGUUUAUUCACUGUUGCAGGGAGAAUGCAAACCAUAACCAAGAAAGUAGAUUAACGAGCAAAAGAACAUAUUUGUGUCCAUUUUCCAGACACUGCUAAUUGUAUUACAGAUUUCACCGAUGUAAAACUCGUUUGACGUUGAUUGUCGAUUCAGCCUUGUCUUUAAUAGUCAAUGGCUUUUAAACAUUUGAUAUUAUUGCUAGUUAUUCCGAGUCACCAUUUUAUCAAAAAUUGCAUUUCCAAGUCUGGUUGGUGUCUGUGUCACUCGUUUGGCUUGACAUUCUGCUGUUCUCUUUUCUGCUAGUCAUCUUAAUAAAAGUAGAAGCUUUAGUCUGAAUUGAUAAUUACUUUCAAAUGUUCAAAAAUUCCCGAUCUAGGAUGAUGAUGAUAAAUGAAGGAUGCCCUCAAAAUACUUCACCUUUACCUUCGAAGGGUAGAGAAUAUUUAUGGGUGGCGAACUCUCUGUGUACAGAAAACAAUUACAAGGCCGCAGAAUGUAUUUUAAAUUAGCAUAAUCUCAAUCUUCGUUGUCACUAUUAAAGCACUCUAAAUCCAAGCAAAUUUUUUUGUGCCUGUGCCUUAAACAGAUGGAACCUACCUAUUUCCGUAUUUUUUUUUAUUUUUUAGAUUGUUGUAUCACUUUUCUUUCUCUUUUGUCUUGAGAAAUGUUUUUUUCUUAGGUAUGUUGUAUGUAUGUAGGUAUGUUGGAAAAAUUGUUCAUAUAUUUUUAUUUUUAGGGCUUCUGAUGGGACAGUUGAUUGAAUAAAUCCCUCCUUAAUCUUA